AUUGAACGCUGGCGGCAGGCCUAACACAUGCAAGUCGAGCGGAGCGGCGAACGGGUGAGUAAUGCCUAGGAAUCUGCCUGGUAGUGGGGGAUAACGUCCGGAAACGGGAGCUAAUACAGCAUACUAGCAGGUGAGCCUAGGUCGGAUCAGCUAGUUGGUGGGGUAAAGGCUUACCAAGGCGACGAUCCGUAACUGGUCUGAGAGGAUGAUCAGUCACACUGGAACUGAGACACGGCCCAGACUCCUACGGGAGGCAGCAGUGGGGAAUAUUGGGCAAUGGGCGAAAGCCUGAUCCAGCAAUGCCGCGUGAGUGAAGAAGGUCUUCGGAUUGUAAAGCUCUUUAGUUUGGGAAGCGUUACCAACAGAAUAAGCACCGGCUAACUUCGUGCCAGCAGCCGCGGUAAUUC
rnacentral:rRNA from 1 species